rnacentral:misc_RNA from 1 species
UUCAAAUCAAAGGCUAAUAAUAACAUCCAAAAAGCAGCCAAGACUAGAAGCCUGAGAAAGCAACUAACCAAACCGACUCCCAUUUUCCAAUUUUCCGUUUUCCAUUUCCUCUUAUAAUCCAUUCCCACAAAAUUCGUCGCAGGCCAGGGAGAGAGGGAGAAUCCGUUUUCUCUCGAUCUCCAUUCCCUCUAUUUUCAAUUUUCGCGGUUUCUCAAAUGAGAUCACAGAUCCUUGAGGGCUACAUUUAGACGAUAUUGAAACAGCCGAAAGCACGAAAAUCUUGGAGCAGAAAAUCCAAGCGCCUUCGUCUCAGUUAGGUUUGGCUGGUUGUAGUACAGAUAAUCUGCACAUGCUGUCAUUAAGGAUUCUUCCAGAGGCCACAAACAUUCCUGGAAAGAGACUCUGAAUUUUCACUCUCCAAGGUUAAAAAAGAAAUUUUAUUUUAUUUUAUUUCUCACUUUCACUACUGCAGUUUUAUUUUAUUUUUUUAUAUAUAUAUAGUUUAUAUUACGAAACAUAUUCUAUAUCCAGAUAGUGUAAAGAUAACAAGAGAAGAUCGAAGUGUUUUUGCAAUUUGUUAUUGGGGACCAUUUUAGAAAAAUCCAAAUUCGUCCAUUAAAUGGACAACAACCAUUUGCUUGACUCCAAGAAUGAUAGCUAACAAAUGGGCACAUGUAUUUAUUCAUGCCUUUAUUUUUUAAUUGAGAAAUGGAAGAUAAAGAAAUCGGGUUUCUUGCUUGAGACAAAGAACUGACCAAAAGUGUCGGUGAAUUAGCACUAACCCAUGAUUAGUUUGCCGAUGUAUAUGAUUGUGGUAGUUAAGGUUGCGUGGCCCUUAUGUUCUCCAUGAGUCCAGCAAACUUGUUUUAUUAAACAAAUACCAAACUUAAUGCAUUAACUGGACAAUAAGAAAAAGAGAGGGAGCUGACAAAAAGAGGCAAAAUGACGUAUUUGUGUGGUCUGUAUGAGCAUACAUUGACUUCUUUACAUAUUGUAUGAUUUCCAGUCUUGCUGAGACCAAAGGUGAGAAAUGGGGGCCGCUGAUGAGGAGGAGCAGAUACAGGGGUCGAGUGGUGGUGAGGAGAAAAUUCUUGUUUCAGUUCGGCUGAGGCCUUUGAAUGAGAAGGAAAUUGUAAGGAAUGAUGUAUCAGAUUGGGAAUGCAUCAAUGAUAGCACUGUCAUAUAUAGGAAUAAUCUUUCAGUUUCUGAGAGGUCCAUGUACCCAACUGCCUAUACAUUUGACACAGUAUUUAGAUCUGAUUCCUCCACAAGGCAGGUGUACGACGUAGGAGCCAAGGAAGUUGCACUUUCAGUUGUCAAUGGUAUAAACUCAAGUAUAUUUGCAUAUGGACAAACAAGUAGUGGAAAGACAUACACCAUGAGUGGAAUUACCGAGUACACUGUAGCAGAUAUAUAUGAUUAUAUAGACAAGCAUAAGGAAAGAGAAUUUAUUUUGAAGUUCUCUGCCAUGGAGAUUUACAAUGAAUCAGUACGAGACCUCCUUAGUAUGGAUACAACUCCUCUUCGACUUCUAGACGACCCGGAGAGAGGGACAGUUGUUGAGAGACUCACAGAGGAAAAACUAAGGGACUGGAAUCAUUUCAAAGAACUUCUAUCUGUCUGUGAAGCUCAGAGACAAAUAGGGGAGACUUCCAUGAAUGAAACAAGCUCCAGAUCUCAUCAGAUUCUGAGACUGGUAUAACUUAAUGGUUAUUUCACUAUGAAAUUUAAGGUAGCACUGCCAGAUAAUUUUUUGUCGCGUCAUAUUACUGAUAAUGAGUUCAUGUCAGACGAUUGAAAGUUCUGCAUGUGAGUAUUUAGGCAAUGGCAAGUCAAGCACCCUUGCAGCCACUGUGAAUUUUGUUGAUCUAGCAGGA